AAGAUUCGAAGAAGGUGGCGCGUGUUAUUGUGCACAACGGCGUGUAAUACGUGCUUGAACGAAGAGGUUAUUUUCGUUCCCUUUUAUAUUUUAUCUUUGUUCCAAUUUAAAUUAACUGUUCGUUCAUGAAUAUUCGGGUUUGGGUGGAUAAGUGGAUGGAAAGGGAGAGUGAUUUUUUUUCUCUUUCGGAUGAUUUGUUUUUUUAAUUCGAAAAAGUUGUUUCUAAUUUUAAAGGAGAUAUAACCCGGUUUAAUAAAACUUUAUAAACGGGACACACGCAUCAAAUGGUUUACGAUAUUUGGAUGUCCUUCAAGUCACCUUAAGAAUUUUCAUCAACGAUAAAUUCAUUCGAUGUUCAAGCUAUUUUUGCACGUUAUUUGAUUUUUCGAUGAAAUUAUUUUUUUAAUUCAAAUUUUCUUUUAUCGUGAUAUGAAUUCUUGUCUUUAUGGAAACAAGUAUAGAGAGUUUUGUAAGACUUGUAGAUGUAAGUACAAAUUAUAAAUUCAAUUUAUCAAACAUCUCGUUUACCAACGUGUUUAAUCAGUUAAAAAACUUAGGAAUUAUUAUUAGAAAUUAUAACUAAUCUACGAGAGUGCUGUUAAUAAUACAAAUAAUACGAUCAUAUCAUGGGUUAAACGCCUCUAUGCAAACAUGAGUCAACGUGAUUAAUCAUAAAAUACGAGGAAACCAUCCGUAACGUUAUUAUUAUUAUUAUUAAUGAAAACUGAAAACAACAUAUUUAUAGAGUGGAAUUCCUUUAAAACAUUCUUUCGUAUUGCGAAUUAAUUAUUGAAAUUGGAAAUGUAAAAAUUUCAAUGAAUUGAAAAGAAGUAUUUUGCCAAAAAUUUGAAUUAAUUCGAUUGAUACAAUUAUUUGAGAGUAAUAAUUAGUGAGAAAUAAAAUGAUAUAUUGUUUAGAUAAUCAUUAUCUCAAAUAUUUGAUUAUUCAAAUAAUGCGUAAUACACACGUAUAUAAUUUCAAUAAUUAUUAUAUAUUAACUCAAACAUUUGUACAAUAUUCAAAUAUUUAAACAAUAUCCAAUCUUCAAAUAUUCUCGAAACUACUAAUCACAACUUUAUAUUACCACUUAUCUCCUUCCAAUGUUCUAUAAUUAACAUAUCUAAUUAUUCUAAUUAUUCUAAAUAAUCUCCAUUUUUUCGAAAAAAAACUGAUUAUACAUUUUUUUAACGAUUAUUUAUCAAUUCCUGGAAGGAAAAAUUAUAAAUAGCAAUUUAUAAAAAAGUGAAGUCAAUGAAUCAAGUCUCUUCUGGAACAUAGUUCUCCUCUAGAGUAACGACACUCAACUUUAUCAACGAGUUUGUAAAAAAAGAAAUAUAAAAAAAAAAAAAAAAAUCGUUGAACUAGGACGACAAAAAUAACAAAGCCGAAUCACGAGGAUUAAAUUCCAUUUUCAUGACUGUGCGCCCAAGCUAUUUAUCAACAGAGGAAAAACGAGGGAAUCGCGGGAGCAGAUGGUGGCGCCACUAUUAAUAAAAAUAAUACAUAACCUACGUGUCGCGAAACAACCUCGUGAUCGUCGUGAACGCGAAAAACAGUGGGGUAUUAACACCAGUUUAUGUAAACGGGAAAGAGACAAGAGAGUUUCGAAAAUAGUCGUUCGCGACCCACCACCGCGUACGCAUUUAGACGGCCGCGCUAAACUUAGAUUGUUUUCUGAACAAACGGGUUAAGAGGGGGCCCGGAGAAGUGUAUGACACGAUGGAAAAUGCUUGGAAAGAAACACGUUUAUACGGAGCGGCUCGAUUAACCGGAAGAAGAAUUAGUCUUCUCCCUUCAUAGAAAGUUUAUUUAUCGAUAAUUGGAACACCCUUUUACGAACGAUUGUACAUAUUGCAUUGAUCGUUCGAUGAAAACUUGAUAAUCUCUGGAAACAGCUACAACGUCGAGGAAAUUUAUCUUACGUAACAAAAGGAAUUACGUAGGACAGUUGAGGAAGAGGAGGAGGGAUAUACGGAACACGUGUCUUGGAUGGAGAGGCUCGUAAGAGGGCAUGAGCAUUGAAAGCGUUCACAGCGAACAAAUGGAAGCUUGGAUACUUAACUGGAGGAAACCGUAGUAUUACACUACUUGGUGACAUUUUAGCUGGUAUAAAACCAGAGAUCGUAAUGCUUCAAGAGAAAUUGAAAAAAAAGAAAGGAAAAAGAAUGUGCAAAAACCUGUAUCUUACUAGUAUCUCCUCUGUUUUUAUAUUUGUUCUUAUGUUUUCUUGUGUUUUCAGAGAUACAUAUUAUGGAUAGAUGAGAUGAGACAAUUUCACUCCAUUAUGGAUAUGAUCUUGAGAUCAGAAUUCGAGGAGGAUAAUCUUGAAAUGAAAAGAGUCUGAAUUGGAGAUAGAUUCAAAGUGGAGGAAAUUUUGUUUGAAAUGAUUUGAAAGAAAAAAAAGUUAUUAGGAUAGUCUAUGCGUGAAAUAUUGAUAAUUGUAGGAUUAAAAAAUUUCACUUAGAAAUGAGCUGGAGCUCUCCUUUCAAAAUUGAAGAUCAAUGGAUCUUGGAAUUAAUGGAUCCUAUAAAAAAUGAUUCUCUAAGAUAACUUGAAAAAAUAAAUCUAUUUGGAUCUAAGAAAUUUGGUUCCAAAGUGGAGGGAUUCUUGUUAAAUAAAUGCUAUGAAGAAUUGAUCACAAAAUUAACACAUUCCUGUUCAGAUGAUGUUUAAAUUUAUGAAUUGUUAUGGAUUCUAGAAUCGAGAAUCUCGAUUGAAGUGAAUCAAACAAUAAGGAUUUCUAUAAAUUAUUAUAUAUUAUUAUCAGUAUUAUUAAUUCAUUGAUAAUGGACCAUAUGGACAGUUAUGGAGGAAGAUAUAUUUCUGGAAAAUCCCUAUUAUGACUCUUAUCCAUUAAACGCAAGUGAGAAUACACGUUAGAAAAACUUAAUUGAUCGAGCAGUUUCAAACGUGUUACUAAUUACCACUAUUUACAUGAUAAUUAAGCUCGCGCUAAUAGAAGAGAAAUACGAUAAUCGAUCGUUCUACACUGUCAACCGUGAUACCAUGAGGAAAUAAAAUAUUUCUUGGAACGAAAUGAAACAAGUUUCGAUUACGAGUAUCACGUUCAUAACGUUUGGAAAAAAUAUUUUGUUCGCAUAAAAGGAAAAGAAUCGAGACCUUUUAGAAACAGUUAAAUUAAUAAUUCUAUUUUCAAAGAAAUGUAAUAUUCGACGAGGCUCAAAUUUUCUUCCUCAGAAUAUCGUCUAAUUGUUAAAUAUUCAAUUGUUAGAAAAAGAAGAAAAAAAAUAUAUACAUCUUUUUGCAUCAAUUUUCUCUUCAUCAAUUUCAAUAUUUUAAGGAUGUUAAUGCGCACCUUAUGCUUGCCUAUUUAAGGCAAUAUACCCAUGCUCAUAUUACGGAUCACUUGCUACGGAUGAUCAGCUGAUCAAUUAAAAUCUGUGGUUGACGACCAAUGAUCCGUGAUACGAGCAUAGAUACCUUAAAUAGGCGACAACCGAUAACGUAUCUGAUGAACUCUGCAAACUCUCUCCAGAUGCACAGCAUACGUUGAAUUAAUUCAAGGAGAAAUUAUAAAUAAUAUGUUUUAAUAUGAAGAGACUUUACAUCAAGUUUUUCUUUUUAAUUUAAUUGUGAUCAUAUUGUUUUACAUUGGAAUAUCUAAUUUGUUAUUUUCAUGAAAUAAUACUGGAUGGAUAUAUAUAUAUUGGUAGAUAUUUUUGGUCCAACAAAUCCAAAAGUUGUGUGCAACAAAACAAUGAUAUUUUAUCUAUUCGUUCAGAAAAUAAUGAGUAUAUUCUCAUUUAAAUGUAUGUGCCAAGUACAUCUGCAAAUUCUAAAUAAACAUUGUUUAACACAUCAUGACAUCCCAAUUACAGUGUUUUCAUGAAUUUAAUUUUCAUCAGUUGAGAACAAUAAUUGUAAAAAAUAUAUACAUAUUUACAUUUAACAUUUCUUUCUCAAAUUAAUAUUUCCAAUUAUUCAGAAUAAAAAUUUCAAUAAGAAAAGAAAUAACGAUGAAAUAAUUCAAUGUUUUGAAUAUUAUAUUAAAGUAUCAUCCAGGCAAAUAUUUCCAUAAGUAUUUCGCAACGAUGCUCUAAAUCAUUAAAUCUAUGGACAAUCAAACUGUUACAGAAAAACCAAUGAAUGAUGGAUUUCGAUAAAUUUAAAGGAAAGCAAUAGAAGGCCAAAUAUUAAGAAGAAAUAGAAGGAAGAAGAAAAAGAAGAAGUAAAAAUAUAUAUAUAAAAGAGAAAAGUAGCGAUGCUGGUCUCGUUAAGACGCUUCAAGAUGGUACUUCCCCCAUUUCCUCCUCAUCUCAUGAUUCGCUAUCAAAGCCGCCAUCUUGAAAGCACUUUAAAUCAAUUUAUUAGCUUCGUUUUUAAUCACCCUCCCCGUUUCGAACUGUCCACGAUAAGGAGGAGGAGGAGGAGAAGACACUGGGGUAGAGGUGAAAGAGGACGAACGAAAGAAAUUACCGAGGAGUCGAUCGUGGAAAUAUUUUUCCUCCAAUGGCGAUCUCUCGCUUCGCCUUCAUCAUCCCUUGCAUCUUGAUUAAACAAUCCUACGGCAUUCCGCCAUGCUUGUUCCACUCGAAAUUACCCUCUCAGAUUAUAUUCCAACUAUUCACGUUAUUUCGACGACAACCAGCCUCGCCAAUCAACCGAUUCUUGAAAGAGGAAUGGAAAUAUGGGGAGCCUGCUUUGGAUAACGAUUAAUGUGCGAAUUCCACUUCAUAUAAGUGAGACUUAGAGAAGAUGAAGAUUCUGAUUGAUUUUUAAAUUAUUAAAUGGAAAUUAAAGGAUAUAGUGUUUUUUAAUUAUUGAAAUGAAUUUUUGAAGGGGAAUGUGGAAAUGUGCAGCUCUCCUUUGGAUGAUUAAUGAGAAUUCCUCCACAACCUCUAAGUGAGAUUUAUCAGAGAAGAUGAAGAUUCUGAUUGAUUUGUCAUUUUAAAUUAUUAAAUGGGGAUUAAAGGAUACAAUGUUUUUAAAGUAUUGAAAUAAAUUUUUGAAGGGAGAUUAUUAAUGAGAAUUCCUCCACACUCUAUUGAAAUUAAUCUUAAAAGAUGAAGAUUUUGAUUUGUUAUUUUAAAUUAUUAAAUUGAAAUUAAAAAGUACAAUGUUUUUGAACUAAUGAAAUAAAUUUUUAAAAGGGGAUUAUUAAUGAGAAUUCCUCCACAUCCUAUAAUUGGGAUUAAUCUUAAAAGAUGAAGAUUCUGAUUUGUCAUUUUAAAUUAUUAAAUUGAAAUUAAAGAAUAUAAUGUUUUUGAACCAUUAAAAUGAAUUUUUGAAGGGGGAUUAUUAAUGAGAAUUCCUCCACAUCCUAUAAUUGGGAUUAAUCUUAAAAGAUGAAGAUUCUGAUUUGUUAUUUUAAAUUAUUAAAUUGAAAUUAAAGAAUAUAAUGUUUUUGAACUAUUAAAAUGAAUUUUUGAAGGGGGAUGUGGAAAUGUUCAGCUCUCCUUUAGAUGAUUAAUGAGAAUUCCUCCACAUUCUAUAAAUAGGAUUUAUCAGAGAAGAUGAAGAUUUUGAUUGAUUUGUUAUUUUAAAUUAUUAAAUGGAGAUUAAAGAAUACAGUGUUUUUAAACUAUUGAAAUGAAUUUUUGAAGGGGGAUGUGGAAAUAUUCAGCUCUCCUUUGGAUGAUUAAUGAGAAUUCCUCCACACCCUAUAAUUGAGAUUGAUCUUAAAAGAUUCUGAUUGAUUUUAAAUUAUUAAAUACAAUAUUUUUGAACUAUUGAAAUGAAUUUUUGAAGGGGGAUGUGGAAAUAUUCAGCUCUGCUUUUAAUGAUUGCUGGAUAGUCCAUGAAUUUAUUGAAAGAAUAGAGAUUGUGAUUGAUUAGAAUUUGUCAUUUUGAAUUAAUAAAUUGGAAUUGAAAAAUA